rnacentral:rRNA from 1 species
UGUUUGAUGUUCUAACGUUGGCCCCUGAUCGGGGUUGCGGACAGUGUCUGGUGGGUAGUUUGACUGGGGCGGUCUCCUCCUAAAGAGUAACGGAGGAGCACGAAGGUUGGCUAAUCCUGGUCGGACAUCAGGAGGUUAGUGCAAUGGCAUAAGCCAGCUUGACUGCGAGCGUGACGGCGCGAGCAGGUGCGAAAGCAGGUCAUAGUGAUCCGGUGGUUCUGAAUGGAAGGGCCAUCGCUCAACGGAUAAAAGGUACUCCGGGGAUAACAGGCUGAUACCGCCCAAGAGUUCAUAUCGACGGCGGUGUUUGGCACCUCGAUGUCGGCUCAUCACAUCCUGGGGCUGAAGUAGGUCCCAAGGGUAUGGCUGUUCGCCAUUUAAAGUGGUACGCGAGCUGGGUUUAGAACGUCGUGAGACAGUUCGGUCCCUAUCUGCCGUGGGCGCUGGAGAACUGAGGGGGGCUGCUCCUAGUACGAGAGGACCGGAGUGGACGCAUCACUGGUGUUCGGGUUGUCAUGCCAAUGGCACUGCCCGGUAGCUAAAUGCGGAAGAGAUAAGUGCUGAAAGCAUCUAAGCACGAAACUUGCCCCGAGAUGAGUUCUCCCUGACUCCUUGAGAGUCCUGAAGGAACGUUGAAGACGACGACGUUGAUAGGCCGGGUGUGUAAGCGCAGCGAUGCGUUGAGCUAACCGGUACUAAUGAACCGU